UACGAGGGGGCGAGCGUUGUUCGGAAUUACUGGGCGUAAAGCGUGCGCAGGCGGUGAUGUAAGACAGAUGUGAAAUCCCCGGGCUCAACCUGGGACCUGCAUUUGUGACUGCAUCGCUAGAGUACGGCAGAGGGGAUGGAAUUCCGCGUGUAGCAGUGAAAUGCGUAGAUAUCAGGAGGAACACCUGCGGUGUAGACGGCUUUCUGGACCAUUGCUGACGCUGAGACACGAAAGCGUGGGUAGCAAACAGG
rnacentral:rRNA from 1 species